GUAAUUGAUUCUGUCGUAGGAAAAGAACCACGGCAGCAUGAACCAGAUGCUGGAAAGAUGCAGACCCCAGUUUGCCUCUCGUGUGGCCCUGACGAAUGAUAGCAGAUCCUCUACCAUUUCAAUGUAGGAACUCCAAAACUGGAAAGGCACUUUGGAGGUCAGCAGCAACUUUUAAAGCAGCUUCACGGCAGUCUUGAGAAAGGGUUUCAAGACCCAGCAGCAAUAACAUCAGCCUCAAUCACAAUGUCUUGUAAGCCAGCAUCUCCAAAUUGCUUGCCAAUACAGGACAGGAAAGCUAUACAUGUGUGAAACUCCCCCAUUCUAAUUGUAAUCCCAGAUCCUCAGCCCUGCUGUGAGACAUCUUCUUGACCUGAUCUGACUACACCCUGACACAUCUAUUCUGCUGAAACAAUGAAAAUGCCCUUUUUUUUCACGGUUCAUCAUAAAACCCUUUCAAUGUGUUUUGCUCAACUGUUUGGUGGAGCACAUUUUCAGUCGCUAUAUGUUGAAAAAUGUGUCCACUAGAUGUCGCUGUGUCUAUAGUAGCCUUUUAUUAGUUUACCUUGACUUA